rnacentral:rRNA from 1 species
UACGUAGGUGGCAAGCGUUGUCCGGAUUUAUUGGGUUUAAAGGGAGCGUAGGUGGCCUUAUAAGUCAGUGGUGAAAUCUCGCAGCUUAACUGCGAAAUUGCCAUUGAUACUGUAGGGCUUGAGUAUAGUUGCCGUUGGCGGAAUAUGACAUGUAGUGGUGAAAUACAUAGAGAUGUCAUAGAACACCGAUUGCGAAGGCAGCUGACGAAACUAUAACUGACACUGAGGCUCGAAAGUGCGGGGAUCAAACAGG